rnacentral:rRNA from 1 species
GGAGAAGCUCUUGAUCGAAGCCCCGGUAAACGGCGGCCGUAACUAUAACGGUCCUAAGGUAGCGAAAUUCCUUGUCGGGUAAGUUCCGACCUGCACGAAUGGUGUAACCAUGGCCACGCUGUCUCCACCCGAGACUCAGUGAAAUUGAAAUCGCAGUGAAGAUGCUGUGUACCCGCGGCUAGACGGAAAGACCCCGUGAACCUUUACUACAGCUUGGCACUGAACAUUGAACCUACAUGUGUAGGAUAGGUGGGAGACUUUGAAGCAGAGACGCUAGUUUUUGUGGAGUCGUCCUUGAAAUACCACCCUUGUAGUUUUGAUGUUCUAACGUUGGCCCCUGAAUCGGGGUUACGGACAGUGCCUGGUGGGUAGUUUGACUGGGGCGGUCUCCUCCCAAAGAGUAACGGAGGAGCACGAAGGUUGGCUAAGUACGGUCGGACAUCGUACGGUUAGUGUAAUGGUAGAAGCCAGCUUAACUGCGAGACAGACACGUCGAGCAGGUACGAAAGUAGGUCAUAGUGAUCCGGUGGUUCUGAAUGGAAGGGCCAUCGCUCAACGGAUAAAAGGUACUCCGGGGAUAACAGGCUGAUACCGCCCAAGAGUUCAUAUCGACGGCGGUGUUUGGCACCUCGAUGUCGGCUCAUCACAUCCUGGGGCUGAAGUCGGUCCCAAGGGUAUGGCUGUUCGCCAUUUAAAGUGGUACGCGAGCUGGGUUUAGAACGUCGUGAGACAGUUCGGUCCCUAUCUGCCGUGGGCGUUUGAGAAUUGAGAGGGGUUGCUCCUAGUACGAGAGGACCGGAGUGAACGAACCGCUGGUGUUCGGGUUGUCAUGCCAAUGGCAUUGCCCGGUAGCUACGUUCGGAACUGAUAAGCGCUGAAAGCAUCUAAGCGCGAAGCAGGCCUCGAGAUGAUUUCUCACUAGACUUUUAAAGUCUCUGAAGGGCCGUUGAAGACUACAACGUUGAUAGGCAAGAUGUGGAAGUGGUGUGAGCCAUUAAGCUAACUUGUACUAAUUACCCGUGAGGCUUAACCAU